GAUGAACGCUAGCGGGAGGCCUAACACAUGCAAGCCGAGCGGUAGAGUUUCUUCGGAAACUUGAGAGCGGCGCACGGGUGCGUAACACGUGUGCAACCUACCUUUAUCUGGGGAUAGCCUUUCGAAAGGAGGAUUAAUACCCCAUAAUAUAAUGAUUGGCAUCAAUUAUUAUUGAAAACUCCGGUGGAUAGAGAUGGGCACGCGCAAGAUUAGAUAGUUGGUGAGGUAACGGCUCACCAAGUCAAUGAUCUUUAGGGGUCCUGAGAGGGAGAUCCCCCACACUGGUACUGAGACACGGACCAGACUCCUACGGGAGGCAGCAGUGAGGAAUAUUGGACAAUGGGUGAGAGCCUGAUCCAGCCAUCCCGCGUGAAGGAUGACGGUCCUAUGGAUUGUAAACUUCUUUUGUACAGGGAUAAACCUACCCUCGUGAGGGUAGCUGAAGGUACUGUACGAAUAAGCACCGGCUAACUCCGUG
rnacentral:rRNA from 1 species